rnacentral:rRNA from 1 species
UACGGAAGGCAGCAGGGGGAAUAUUGCACAAUGGGCGAAAGCCUGAUGCAGCUAUGCCGCGUGUAUGAAGAAGGCCUUAGGGUUGUAAAGUACUUUCAUCGGGGAGGAAAAAACAAAACUAAUAAUUUUAUUUCUUGACGUUACCCGAAAAAGAAGCACCGGCUAACUCCGUGCCAGCAGCCGCGGUAAUACGGAGGGUGCUAGCGUUAAUCAGAAUUACUGGGCGUAAAGAGCACGUAGGCGGUUUUUUUAAGUCAGAUGUGAAAUCCCUGGGCUUAACCUGGAACUGCAUUUUGAAACUGAAAUACUAGAGUAUCGUAGAGGGAGGUAGAAUUCUAGGUGUAGCGGUGAAAUGCGUAGAUAUCUGGAGGAUACCUGUGGCGAAAGCGGCCUCCUAAACGAAUACUGACACUGAGGGUGCGAAAGCGUGGGGAGCAAACGAGGAUUAGAUACC